rnacentral:lncRNA from 1 species
CAGCAACUAAGUUAAUCACUUCCCAGGCGGCUGCAUCACCCCAUUUAUUUUACCGGGUGAGCCCGGAAGGGUCAGUCUCACCACCUGCGGAGACGUCGCCCCCCGGGCCCGAGCUCGGACAGCUCACCUUUCUCCCCUCCCCUAGUCUCUCCGCUCUACGCCCUUCCCCUCCCCCUAACAGGGGUAAAAUCGGGGCGGAGCUGGACCCCCUCCUCAUUCUUCUAUUUCCCUUUCCCAAUGCCCCCUCAUCAGCCCAGGAGGCAUCCUCUCCUCCACCGAAACCCGUGUUCUGGAGGCCCUAAGGUGUUGGGGGGGAGGGAACAGAGGGGCAGCCUAGGCCCCUGAGGUCACUAAAAGCGUGAGGUUUCGUCGCUUGGGAACCAGCGAGAUGGACAAAAGGAGCGGUUUGGGAUGCAGUUGGAGGCGUGGACAGGUGAGGGGCUCCACCCCAGUACCCAGAGGCGCCGGCAUUUACCUUGGCAUUGCCAGGCCCGGCAGGUCCAGAAAUGUCCCUGGUCCCGGCCCCACCCACCCCCUCCGCACUGGCUUCUGGGAAAUGUAGUUCGGCUCUUCCGCCGCUUCCGGGCCUCGCCUUCAAACCAUCUCCAGGGUUCCCCCUAGGUGUUCUUGUCGGUACCUUCUGGAAGGCGGGCCGGGGCUUGCUUGACUAACCUGAAGGAAGACGCUGAGAUUCUCCCUGAAGCGUCCCACAUCCCUAAUAACUCCUGGAUAGAGGCCAACUAUGAUUAAUAAUCCAUGGUUUGGUCCAACCAUGACUAAUAACCCAUGUCGUGGUCCAACCAUGACUAAUAACCGAUGGAUCUGGUCCAGCCGUGAUGAAUAGCCCGUGAUUCUGAUCCAUGAGCUAUGGUUCUGGUCCAACCCCUUCAAAAUACCGAUGAGACGGAGAAUCAGUCAACAAGCAUGUAUUAAACACCUCCUGUGUACCAGGCACUGUGCCAAAUGCUGGGGUCACAAGAAAGGCCAAAGACGGUCUUUUCUCCAGAAUCUCACAGUCCAAUGAGGACGACAAUGAAAAUUACCAGUACAAACAAUAUCUACAUGCACAGGAUGAACCGGAGAGAGGGCACCAGCAGUACCAGGGAUGGGGAAAGGUUUCUUUGGAAGAUCCGACCGACAGGUAGAGCUGAGUUCAAAGGCGACUCUGAAGUUGGGCUCUGGGGUCACUACCAGGCUUCCGAGAUACUGUUUUUUUCUUCUUUCUUUCUUUCUUCCCUCUCUGGCCUCUUGGUUUUAGGAAUACUCCUGUACUGUAUAACCUCUAUCAUAUAA